rnacentral:misc_RNA from 1 species
AAGUCGUAACAAGGUUUCCGUAGGUGAACCUGCGGAAGGAUCAUUAACACGUGAACUUUUAUUGCGAACCACGCCUUUGUUAGAAAGUAGCAAUCCCUGGUAAAUCAUCGCCGAACAGUUUUGAUUCAGGGAUCUCUGCGAAGAGAGCGGUUGUAGCGCGAGGUAAGUGGCCUGGCAUUCCUCUGCUUGUUAGUGUCUGACAGUGUCACUAGCUCUGUACGAAUGGCGCAGUCACGAUCGCUGGAGGCCGACACGGCCGGCGACCGGGUCACCGGGCAUAGACCCCCCUAUCACCUUUGCAUGAAAACGGGCCUGCGCUUAAUUGUGCGGCCACCAAACUCGAACAACUGUUAACAAUGGAUAUCUUGGUUCUC